UACAACUUUCAGCAACGGAUCUCUUGGCUCUCGCAUCGAUGAAGAACGCAGCGAAUUGCGAUAAGUAAUGAGAAUUGCAGAUUUCCAGUGAAUCAUCGAAUCUUUGAACGCAUCUUGCGCUCCUUGGUAUUCCGAGGAGCAUGCCUGUUUGAGUGUCAUUG
rnacentral:rRNA from 1 species